rnacentral:rRNA from 1 species
CCUACGGGUGGCAGCAGUGAGGAAUAUUGGUCAAUGGACGAGAGUCUGAACCAGCCAAGUAGCGUGAAGGAUGACUGCCCUAUGGGUUGUAAACUUCUUUUAUAUGGGAAUAAAAUGUUCCACGUGUGGGAUUUUGACUGUACCAGAUGAAUAAGGAUCGGCUAACUCCGUGCCAGCAGCCGCGGUAAUACGGAGGAUCCGAGCGUUAUCCGGAUUUAUUGGGCUUAAAGGGAGCGUAGGUGGGUUAUUAAGUCAGAUGUGAAAGUGUGCGGCUCAACCGUAGAAUUGCAUUUGAAACUGGCAGUCUUGAGUACAGAAGAGGAGAGCGGAAUUCGUGGUGUAGCGGUGAAAUGCUUAGAUAUCAGGAAGAACACCAGUUGCGAAGGCAGCUCACUGGACUGCAACUGACGCUGAGGCUCGAAAGCGUGGGUAUCAAACAGGAUUAGAUACCCCUGUAGUC